rnacentral:lncRNA from 1 species
GGUACAUUAUCUAGAUUGUGAUGAUGGUUUCAGAGGUACGUAUAUAGGUAAAACAUCAAAUUGUAUACUUUGUAUACACAUAGGCAGUUUAUUUUGUGUCAGUAUAAACUCAGCAACACUGGGCAACCUGCCAUCCUUAUCCAAAGUGAAGGCUUUAUAAAGAGUAUUUAAAGCUCUGCCUUUCUCUCAGCACAAGUCCUCUGACCUCAUCAUGUGCCUUCCUUUCCAAGCCAUUACUGAUUUUGGUGGUUCUGUAGAGGACUUCCUAAGUUCCCCUUGUCAGAAACAGGCAGAGUGAGGGCUUGUUGCUAACAAAAUCUCAUUCUCUCGGUGGGAAACAAAGAGGCCCUUUGUUUAGUCUGUGUUCAGCUCCGUGGUAAGGGACUGUUCAGGGUUUAUGAGUGGGGAUGUGGAGCACUCCCUGGUCUCUUUCCUCACCUCGUCAUUAGGUAGAUGAUGUGUGUGGUGAUCCUGCCAAUGCUCCUGCCUAAGGGAGCAGUGGGCAUCUCAGAGGCUUCUGACUGAUUUUGAGUGCUGUUGUGACUACUCAGCUUGCCUGGUCCAUGCACCUCCAUUACAGCCAUAUUUAGGAGUUGUCAGGCAUAGCCAGGCAGGUGUUUGGGAUGCUGUGUUCAGAUAUGGCUUGCUCAAGCUCAUUCCCUGAGUUGGUUCUGUUCACACUCUGAGUUGGUCCUAGCCUCUGGGGGCUGGCCUUGAGAUGGGGGUUGCUCAGAGAUGAGGUAGGAGGGGGAGAGGGGUGAGAGUCAGGGAAGGGUUGCAGAGGGUCAUGUCUAGGCUGCCAUCUGGCCAAAGGGAGGCCCAUCACAUAGACUGGACAGUCACCUACGACCCAUUAUGGCUUGGGACAAAAUGUGUCCCAAGCCAAUUAGAUCCCUUUCUCAGGGAUUUGGAAGUGAGAAGCAGAAAGGCUGAGCUACAGAAAUAGCCAGCGUCAGAGCUCAAGACAAUGGACUAGUGACUGUGGAAUUUUAAUUGUUCGUCA